rnacentral:tRNA from 1 species
CAUUAAAUGGCUGAAAUGAAAGUAAUGGUCUCUUAAACCAUCCAUGUUAUAAACAAAUAUCUUUAAUGA